rnacentral:rRNA from 1 species
GGUGCCGGAAGGUUAAGGGGAGGGGUUAGCCGCAAGGCGAAGCUCUGAACCGAAGCCCCGGUGAACGGCGGCCGUAACUAUAACGGUCCUAAGGUAGCUUUGCUGCCUGCCCCGGCGGUAACGUCGGGGGCAAUAGCUGGCUAUAUGCGGGAACAGCCUGAGAGCUCGAUCUACUCGGGACACUUCGCUCCCAGUAAAAAUGAUCGAGAUUGGCCGAUCCGCAGGAAACCCACUCCGGUGGGGAUCCUCAGAGACUACACGCCAGCCAUCCAACAGUGAGGUUCGACAAUGGAUUUGACGCCUGAUUGGGUCGUGGGUUUCGUUGAUGGUGAGGGAUGCUUCUACGUCGGCAUCAACCCUCAGCCGGAGAUGCCCCUCGGCUACCAGGUGCUGCCUGAGUUCCGCGUGGUUCAACACGAGCGUGAUAUGCAAGUGCUUUAUGCUCUCAAGCGAUUCUUUCGCUGUGGCGUUAUACGCCACAACCGCGAAGAUCGCUACGAGUUGCGUAUCCGCAAGCUCUCUUGUCUGCAACAAGUCGUUGCCUUUUUCGAGAGACACCCGCUGAAAACCAAGAAGCAGGUGGAUUUUCGGAAAUUCGCCAAAGUGAUUCGUCGCAUGGCCGAAGGCCGACAUCUGACAAGAGAGGGGCUGAUUGAGAUCAUCGAAAUCAGUCUAACGAUGAAUCGAGCGGACAAAGAAAAAGCUCAGGCCAUCCUACAACAGCUGAAAAGCGUUGGAUGAAGAUAUAGUCCACACCAGGCAGAAAUGUCUGGACUCAUGUGAGCGAAAUUCCUUGUCGGGUAAGUGAUGAACUUGCCCCGCCAUCCCGCGAGGGAUGGAUGAAAGCCGGCUCAUAUCGGAGAAGCCCUCCUGCGUCAGCGGGACGCAGUGGGUAAUUCCGAGGGAAGUCGUCCUCAGCGCAAGCACAGGAUUGACCCCGUAACGACUGACCCGAAAGGGGAGGCGCACCCCACCUCCGGUGCGCAACACGCCGGCUCUCACCCUCUUGAGAGCAAUCUCAGGAGCAAGGGCAACCAUGGAGGCAUCUUUCCGUCCUGGAGGUUCCGUGAAACUGCACCCCUGGUACGUGACUGGAGUGGUGGAAGGGGAAGGCACCUUUGCGGUAAGCUUCAACAAGCGCCGCAAGCUCAAGGUGGGUAUCGAGACCCGCCCCUCCUUCUCCGUAACCCUCCAUAAGCGUGACCUGGAACUUCUCAAAGCCUUGCAGGCGUACUUCGGCUGUGGGGCCAUCCGUUACAGCCGUAGCGAUGGCACCUACAAGUACGAGGUCCGUUCUAUCGACGACCUGGCUCGCAAGAUCAGGCCGCACUUUGAGAAGUACCCCCUUGCCGGAGCGAAGGGCGAAGAUUUUCGUAGAUUCGCCGAGAUCGUGCAACUGGUGCAUGCCAAGCACCAUCUCAACCGCAACUAUCUUCGCCGCAUCAUCGAGUUAGCCUACGAGAUGAACCCUUCCGGCAAGCGACGCUACGAGAAAGAUGAACUCCUAAAGUUGCUUGGUGAGAUGAAGGUAUAGUCUGUGCUCUCUGGAAACAGGGAGAGAACACGAAGUUCCGACCCGCACGAAUGGCGUAACGAGCGGAGCACUGUCUCAACGAGGGACCCGGUGAAAUUGAAGUACGUGUAAAGAUGCGCGUUACCCGCAGCAGGACAAAAAGACCCCGUGGAGCUUUACUGCAGCUUGGCAUUGCGUUAGGGCUUAGCCUGUAGAGGAUAGCUGGGAGACUGAGAAGCUGGGGCGCCAGCCUCGGUGGAGUCGCCGGUGGAAUACCAGCCUGGUUAAGUCUUGGCCCUAACCUGCGUCCGUAAUCCGGCGUGGGGACAGUGCCAGG